CUACCCCUCAAGCGCGGCUUGUGUGUUGGGCGCUGUCCCUCCCCUUCUUCGGGGGGACAGGCCUGAAAGGCAGUGGCGGCGUCGCGUCCGGUCCUCGAGCGUAUGGGGCUUUGUCACCCGCUCUGUGAGGAUCCGGCCGGGGCCUGUCUCACCCCCAAUCUUCUCUAAGG
rnacentral:misc_RNA from 1 species